rnacentral:lncRNA from 1 species
CUUUGCAUGUAUUUCCAGACAAAGUCCAUUACACCUUGCUCCUGAUGCCAAAGUUUUCUAGUUCUGAAAGAGCAGUAAUUCACAAUGGAGCAAGUAUUCCUUCAAUUUCCUUUGCUUCAAAAUGGUACCGAGAAUCUGUUCUGAAUGAAGGCAGACAAAAAAUGCUCCAUGUUAAUGCACGCUCUGGGUUAGCUGUCUUUGUUAAAUUAGAAUGAGUGCUGCUCAUUUCCCAUCUGGUCCUCUGUGACAUUACUUCCAGAAUACAUUCACAGCUCCUAUUUGUGCAGUGCAAGUUGCUGGCUGUAGUACCAACUUUACCUUUUAUAGGCUGCUAAAACACGGGUGCCAGAUCGCAAAGUAACGCUCCACUUCUAGGAAGCAUCUGUGGACUUCUCCUGCUUCGACAGCUUUCUUUUUUCCCUCCUCUUAUUUUCUUUAAAUGUAACCAUCUAUGUGAAAUGAGUUUGUUGUCAAACCGAGCUGACGGUUUGACAGCCCCGGAGCCUUCGUCGCGUGGUGAGGAUGCAGCAGGCAGAGGAAGCGAUGCGCUAUCAGUCUGCCCCGAGGGCUGCAGGAGCAGAUAGGUCCCAUCUGCAGCUCUGCUCAGUGCCUUCGCUGCCUGCUGUGCUAUGCUGUGCAUCCUCCACCCCUGCCCUGCAAUGCGUCUCACUCCUACCUGGGUACAUGCGGGGUGCUGAGCUGAGUUGCCCAUGUGCAUUGACCGCACCGUGAAUUCUCACCAUAGCAACUGCCCGCCCCAACAGAACGUGGGGCUUAUUAAAGAGGCUCUUUGUGUACCUCUCAGGCUGUGAGAGCAGCACAGAACCUGCGAGCUGAACAAUGCUGCAGGUGUCUUCCCUUGUAAAACAUGUAAUUAUUGCCUUCUCUCCUGAUAAACUGCAUUGCAUACCUUUACUUUGUUGGGCCACAGAGGUGACUUUGCGUACAAGUGCUGCAAAUGUUUUGUUCUUCUCCUUUGCUGCUGAACUACUGGGAAGUGAGGAUGGGUGGAAAUGGAGAUGGCGAUCGCCAGCGGCUUCUGCCAGGAGGCCAUGUGUGCAGCCAACAGAUGACUACAUGGGGAUCUAUAAAGCAAUAAAAAGCAGAGUCCAGAUAACAAGGCUUAGCGGGAAUAAAGAUAAGGCAGCAUCCACACCAUCGGUGCAUGCAUGGGCAAAGACGAGAGCAGGAAGAGCAGGAUGCCCUUCACAACCUCUGUGCACGAGAGCAAGAUAGACCCCAGGACAGAGUAAGAAAGAAGAGAUGCAACCCAUCAACCUCCUUCUGCAUCUCUCUCUGCACCCGUGGAUCUAUAGGGAGAGGCAUUCUGGUGCACACUUCCCUGAAGCUGAUGUGUGAAACAGUCUCUGCAGGAGAUAAUGGUGAGCAGCCCUCAAUGAAAGCAGGAGCUAAAUCUGAUUCACAGUAAUCGCUUGAAAUGUGUUACCCAGUCAUCUGCUGCCUUGCACAGCGUGCCAACACUGGUAUAAUGAACCGCUGAUCGUUCACUUAAUAGCUACACAGUGGCUGAAAAGAUGGGGACUCCUACAUCAUGUAAAUUUGCCUAGAUUUCAUACUCCCACUGGUGACCUCCAGUCCCUUUUACA